rnacentral:rRNA from 1 species
AGUGAACGCUGGCGGUAGGCCUAACACAUGCGAGUCGAACGGCAGCACAGUAAGAGCCUGCUCUUACGGGUGGCGAGUGGCGGACGGGUGAGGAAUACAUCGGAAUCUACUUUUUCGUGGGGGAUAACGUAGGGAAACUUACGCUAAUACCGCAUACGACCUACGGGUGAAAGCAGGGGAUCUUCGGACCUUGCGCGAUUGAAUGAGCCGAUGUCGGAUUAGCUAGUUGGCGGGGUAAAGGCCCACCAAGGCGACGAUCCGUAGCUGGUCUGAGAGGAUGAUCAGCCACACUGGAACUGAGACACGGUCCAGACUCCUACGGGAGGCAGCAGUGGGGAAUAUUGGACAAUGGGCGCAAGCCUGAUCCAGCCAUACCGCGUGGGUGAAGAAGGCCUUCGGGUUGUAAAGCCCUUUUGUUGGGAAAGAAAAGCAGCAGGUUAAUACCCCGCUGUUCUGACGGUACCCAAAGAAUAAGCACCGGCUAACUUCGUG